rnacentral:rRNA from 1 species
GGGGGAAUAUUGCACAAUGGAGGGAACUCUGAUGCAGCGACGCCGCGUGAACGAAGAAGGCUUUCGAGUCGUAAAGUUCUUUUAUAUGGGAAGAUAAUGACGGUACCAUAAGAAGAAGCCCCGGCUAACUACGUGCCAGCAGCCGCGGUAAUACGUAGGGGGCUAGCGUUGUCCGGAAUCACUGGGCGUAAAGGGUUCGCAGGCGGAAAUGCAAGUCAGGUGUAAAAGGCAGUAGCUUAACUACUGUAAGCAUUUGAAACUGCAUAUCUUGAGAAGAGUAGAGGUAAGUGGAAUUUUUAGUGUAGCGGUGAAAUGCGUAGAUAUUAAAAAGAAUACCGGUGGCGAAGGCGACUUACUGGGCUCAUUCUGACGCUGAGGAACGAAAGCGUGGGUAGCAAACAGG